AGAGGCGUAGCCAAGUGGUAAGGCAACGGACUUUGACUCCGUUAUCGGUAGUUCAAAUCUACCCGUCUCUGCCA
rnacentral:tRNA from 1 species